GACGAACGCUGGCGGCGUGCCUAACACAUGCAAGUCGAACGAGUGGCGGACGGGUGAGUAAUGAUUGGGAAUCUGGCUUAUGGAGGGGGAUAACGACGGGAAACUGUCGCUAAUACCGCGUACCAUAGGCUGAGCCCAGGUGGGAUUAGGUAGUUGGUGGGGUAAUGGCAUACCAAGCCGACGAUCUCUAGCUGGUCUGAGAGGAUGACCAGCCACACCGGAACUGAGACACGGUCCAGACUCCUACGGGAGGCAGCAGUGGGGAAUAUUGCGCAAUGGGGGCAACCUGACGCAGCCAUGCCGCGUGAAUGAAGAAGGCCUUCGGGUUGUAAAGUUCUUUCAGUGACGAGGCGUUACUCACAGAAGAAGCACCGGCUAACUCCGUGCCAGCAGCCGCGGUAAUUC
rnacentral:rRNA from 1 species